AGAGUUUGAUCCUGGCUCAGGAUGAACGCUAGCUACAGGCUUAACACAUGCAAGUCGAGGGGUAACGAGAGGGAAGCUUGCUUUCCUUGUCGACGACCGGCGCACGGGUGAGUAACGCGUAUCCAACCUGCCCACAACUAAGGAAUAACCUUGCGAAAGUAAGACUAAUACCUUAUAAUUUCCUCUGAAGGCAUCGGAUGAGGAAUAAAGAUUUAUCGGUUAUGGAUGGGGAUGCGUCUGAUUAGCUUGUUGGCGGGGUAACGGCCCACCAAGGCAACGAUCAGUAGGGGUUCUGAGAGGAAGGUCCCCCACAUUGGAACUGAGACACGGUCCAAACUCCUACGGGAGGCAGCAGUGAGGAAUAUUGGUCAAUGGGCGAGAGCCUGAACCAGCCAAGUAGCGUGCAGGAUGACGGCCCUAUGGGUUGUAAACUGCUUUUAUACAGGAAUAAAGUUAGCCACGUGUGGUUAUUUGUAGGUACUGUAUGAAUAAGGACCGGCUAAUUCCGUG
rnacentral:rRNA from 1 species